CGGCGCUGCGGGGCCCGGGCGCCAUUGCGGCCCCUCACAGCGGGCGGGCCGGAUUUGGGCAUAAAAUGGUUAUAAUCCUGGUUAUAAAAUGUGUGUGCGAUCCGCUUCGCUUCGUGUAAACACAAAAUAACCUCCUGAUUUUGAAAUACUGAGCAAAUUAAAGUGAAGAAAUGGUCAAGUUCCCGAUGAUCUUAAAUAAACCAACGUGUGAGAGAA